rnacentral:tRNA from 1 species
GCGGGUGUAGUUCAGUAGCAGAACACUGCCUUUCCAAGGCAGAGGCACAUGGUGCGAUUCCUGUCACCCGCUCGA